GAAGAUUAAUCCCCCAUAGUCUCUUUUUGUGGCAUCACUAAAGGAGUAAAGGAUACAAGUAUAAGAUGAGUAUGCGUUCUAUUAGUUUGUUGGUGUGGUAACGGCACACCAAGACUACGAUAGAUAGGGGCCCUGAGAGGGGGAUCCCCCACACUGGUACUGAGACACGGACCAGACUCCUACGGGAGGCAGCAGUGAGGAAUAUUGGACAAUGGAGGCAACUCUGAUCCAGCCAUGCCGCGUGUAGGAUGACUGCCCUAUGGGUUGUAAACUACUUUUAUACAGGAAGAAACACCUCUACGUGUAGAGGCUUGACGGUACUGUAAGAAUAAGGAUCGGCUAACUCCGUG
rnacentral:rRNA from 1 species